AUUGAACGCUGGCGGCAGGCUUAACACAUGCAAGUCGAGCGGGGGAAGGUAGCUUGCUACUGGACCUAGCGGCGGACGGGUGAGUAAUGCUUAGGAAUCUGCCUAUUAGUGGGGGACAACAUCUCGAAAGGGAUGCUAAUACCGCAUACGUCCUACGGGAGAAAGCAGGGGAUCUUCGGACCUUGCGCUAAUAGAUGAGCCUAAGUCGGAUUAGCUAGUUGGUGGGGUAAAGGCCUACCAAGGCGACGAUCUGUAGCGGGUCUGAGAGGAUGAUCCGCCACACUGGGACUGAGACACGGCCCAGACUCCUACGGGAGGCAGCAGUGGGGAAUAUUGGACAAUGGGGGGAACCCUGAUCCAGCCAUGCCGCGUGUGUGAAGAAGGCCUUAUGGUUGUAAAGCACUUUAAGCGAGGAGGAGGCUACUUUAGUUAAUACCUAGAGAUAGUGGACGUUACUCGCAGAAUAAGCACCGGCUAACUCUGUGCCAGCAGCAGCCGCCG
rnacentral:rRNA from 1 species